rnacentral:rRNA from 1 species
UAAUACAUGCAAGUCGAACGGUCUUUCUAUGGAAGCUUGCUCCACUGAGAAGAUAGUGGCGAACGGGUGAGUAACACGUGGGUAACCUGCCCAUAAGAGGGGGAUAACAUCCGGAAACGGGUGCUAAUACCGCAUAGUUUUCUUGAUCGCAUGAUCGGGAAAGGAAAGACGGCCUUUGUGCUGUCGCUUAUGGAUGGACCCGCGGCGUAUUAGUUAGUUGGUGAGGUAACGGCUCACCAAGACGAUGAUACGUAGCCGACCUGAGAGGGUGAUCGGCCACAUUGGGACUGAGACACGGCCCAAACUCCUACGGGAGGCAGCAGUAGGGAAUCUUCCGCAAUGGACGAAAGUCUGACGGAGCAACGCCGCGUGAGUGAAGAAAAGGUUUUCGGAUCGUAAAACUCUGUUGUCAGAGAAGAACAAGUUGGAGAGUAACUGCUCCAGCCUUGACGGUAUCUGACCAGAAAGCCACGGCUAACUACGUGCCAGCCGCAGC